UACAGGGGGUGCAAACGUUGCUCGGAAUUAUUGGGCGUAAAGCGCGCGUAGGCGGCUACUUAAGUCGGAUGUGAAAGCCCCUGGCUUAACUGGGGAAGUGCACCCGAAACUGAGUAGCUAGAGUGCGAAAGAGGGUCGCGGAAUUCCCGGUGUAGAGGUGAAAUUCGUAGAUAUCGGGAGGAACACCGGUGGCGAAGGCGGCGACCUGGGUCGAGACUGACGCUGAGGCGCGAAAGCGUGGGGAGCAAACAGG
rnacentral:rRNA from 1 species